UAGGGAAGAAAAUGGGACCUGAGAG
rnacentral:piRNA from 1 species